rnacentral:misc_RNA from 1 species
AAAAUGAAAUUGCAAUUAGAAUCCUGAAAUAGGAACUUUUCAAAUUGAGGGAAUUCUAUAUCUGAGACUGAAGAACUAACUUACAAUUCGAAACAUUCAUAAUCCUUACUUUUUCACAUACUUAUCCAAAAAGCUACCUGCAGUUGCAUCUGCAAAACAAAAUACACUUUGCUUAAACAAGAACAGACAUGGAAACUUCCAAUUUCAUAUGUUUUGCUUUCUAAAUUAAAUGGUAAACAAAUCAAUGGCUGGAACGGAAUCACUCGUACGGUUAGGGACGAGGAAGAGACGCGAGAAGAAGAGAGAUAUGGAGACCAAUCGCCUGCUGCUCUUCCAUUUUGGGGUGGACAAUGCGCACGUCAAUCCAACUAAUUUCUUCCUUGGUUUUGCGAAGAGAGGGCGAUUAAGACAAGGGAAAGCUGAAUGAUUUAAAGGACUAGAGCUAACGCGCGCAGUGGCGUAGGUUAUUGCCAUGGCUGCCGCUAGUCGCCAAAGCAUAUGUUCCAACAGAGGAGUCGUCUCCGGAAGGAGAAAAUGGAACAGAGAAAAGGAAGGAACGCCU